UACGUAGGGUGCGGGCGUAAUCGGAAUUACUGGGCGUAAAGCGUGCGCAGGCGGCCUCUUAAGUCAGAUGUGAAAUCCCCGGGCUUAACCUGGGAACUGCGUUUGAAACUGGGAGGCUAGAGUGUGGAAGAGGGGGGGUGGAAUUCCAGGUGUAGCAGUGAAAUGCGUAGAGAUCUGGAGGAACACCGAUGGCGAAGGCAGCCCCCUGGGCUAACACUGACGCUCAUGCACGAAAGCGUGGGGAGCAAACAGG
rnacentral:rRNA from 1 species